GCUCUCCAAGGAGAAAAUAAGUUGGUGGGGUUUGGGUCUUCUUUUCUUUCUUUAAUUUUUUUUUUUUUUCUAAUAGCAAAGAGGGAAGGCUGGUUCCAAAACCAAAGCGUCAAAGCUGACAGCUGGGGUGGUACCUUUCAAAUCCCUUCGCCCCCCUCAAGGCUGGAUGGAAUUAUAAUCAAACCGGGGCUGAAGGGGGCCAAGGGGGCCAAGGAGCCCCAGAUGACACCAUCUGAAUAGGAGCGAUGGAAAGCGCAGGAGCAGCGUCCUCGGCGCCCGCUCCUCCGGCCACAGAAGACCUUGAAUGAGAGGUCCACACUGGCUCGCCCCAAACAA